AAAUAGAAGAGGUAUUCUUUUGCGUCUCCUCUACGGUCAUACUGAAAAAAAAGAAAAAUUCGUACGUUUUGCUAUUUUUAUGAAAAUAUAUACCUAAAUCGCUUCAGUUAAUGAGAGUCACAUGUGCUUUGACUACUUUGAGUAAUAAAUUUUCAAAAAUUACGAUAUAAAGGUAUAAAUUUUAGCAUUCAAAUUCAAAUUAAACACAACCUCAAAAAUUUAAAUGGCGUGGCUUUUACAAUAAUGUACAUACAUAUAUUUGUAUUAUGUAUAAAAUUAUUUCUUAUUUUCAGAAAUUAUAUCUAUAAUCGCAGCUUACCCCACAUAACAGAAGUAAUGUUCUCUUUUGAAUAAAUACAUAUGCAUAAUUUUGCACAACCAAAAAGAAAUAAAUAUUUUGAAGUACAAGCGUGUUCAGGGUUACUAUUUCAAAUGCUUAAUCACUGAAAUACUACCACAUAUAAAAUUGUUCACAAUCAUUGCAUAUAUGCACUGAAUAGUAACAUUAAAUAGGUGCGAUUGGCUUGCUCUUGAUUUGCACUUAUAAAUACCAAGUCAUCCUGCAAGUGACUUCAUAAAGGGAAACCGAGCUCAAUUACUUACGUGUUUUAAUCGUGAGCUGGCAUUCCGCACCCCAAGGAGGGGAAAGACAAUAUCUUAUAUGACUUUUGAACGAUUAAGUGAUCAUUAAGAAUAAGACCGUGACCAAAUCUAAAUUUUCUGUGAAAGCGAAGGUACAAAAAGCGCUUUCAAGUAAAAGUAGACCAAGUGCAGCCACGGGAUCAAAUUUGAUGUGGUAUAACUUUUGGUUGAAUUUCGGUUCAAAAUUGCUUCCCAUUACACGAGAGCGUUUGCAGUUUAAGAAGGGCGGUAUUGAAAAAGAAGAAAAGGAACUGUAAGCCUUAUAAUUUGUAUAGUCUUUGUGUCCAUUUUUAUUCAAUGAACAACCUGCGAAAAAAAGCACACCUCCAAUUCCACAAAAGCGAAGUAAAAGCUUUCAGCUGUGUAUGAAAAACCAGAGGCGAACUAUUAGUCACCGAAUGCAGAUACGUGCAUACGUGAGCUGUUCAAUAAGUCCAUGAACUUCUGGAUGAUUUUGGUUUUUGGAUAAACAAACAUUUUAUUUUUCAACGUAGUCCUAUACAUAUGUCCACCGAUUCUCCAAUCUUUAUAUCCCUUCCAAAAAUAUGAUUUGUCGAGGUCCUCAAAAUGGGAAUUUGUUUGUUUGGAAACAAGCA